CACGUAAGGAUUUAAAGGGUGAACAAACCUACUUUGUUUGACUGCUGCAUCAAACUGUAACCUUGAGCCAACAUCGAGGUGCCAAUCCCUCUUGUCAAUAUGGUCUCUUAAAGAGGAUUAGCCUGUUAUCCCUAAGGUAGCUUUUUCUACUUAUCGUAAAAACGGAUCGUUAUUAGAAAAUUUGAAGAGAGGUUUUAGGUGCUCUCUAGUUGCCCCAACUAAACCUUUGUUAUAUAUGAUAUAGAUUUCAGGUAAAGCUCUAUAGGGUCUUUUCGUCUUUUUUAAGAAUUCAAGUCUCUUCACUUGAGGGUCAAUUUAUAUUUGUAAAAAUGAGACAGUUGAGCUCUCGUAUAUUCAUUCAUUCCAGCCAUCAAUUAAACGGCAAAUGAUUAUGCUACCUUAGCACGGUCAGGCUACCGCGGCCAUUUACCCCGUAGGGCAUAGGGCAGAAUGGACCUCUAAUAUUAAUAUCUAGAGGCGAUGUUUUU
rnacentral:rRNA from 1 species